rnacentral:rRNA from 1 species
UACGUAGGGACCAAGCGUUGUUCGGAUUUACUGGGCGUAAAGGGCGCGUAGGCGGCGUGGUAAGUCACUUGUGAAAUCUCUGAGCUUAACUCAGAACGGCCAAGUGAUACUGCUGUGCUAGAGUGCAGAAGGGGCAAUCGGAAUUCUUGGUGUAGCGGUGAAAUGCGUAGAUAUCAAGAGGAACACCUGAGGUGAAGACGGGUUGCUGGGCUGACACUGACGCUGAGGAGCGAAAGCGUGGGGAGCAAACAGG